rnacentral:lncRNA from 10 species
GUUGGACAACAAUUUUGGCGGGCAAUAGGUAAUUCCUGUUAGAGCAGCUCAGGCUCAAGCCCUCUUCCCCAGAAUCACCAGGAACUUGCCAGGGAGGCUUUUGUUGCUGUUGUUGCAAAAUCCAAUUGCAAUUACAACAAUAAGUGAGGAAUUAAACUACAAGUAUGAAUAGCAUGGGCAGCUUAAUUCUUAAUAAGAAAGCCUAAGGUGCUUUCAACUAAACCACUUUCUGAAGUUUUUUUUUUACCAAAAAUAAAUUAUAUCCCAAAAUUUAUAAGAAAAGGUACAAGAUAAAAAAGUGCCCCCUUUUAGAGCUAAAGUUGUCAAGCUG